GGGGAUUUAGCUUAGUGGUAGAGCACUUGCUUAGCAAGCACAAGGCCCUGGGUUCGGUCCCCAGCUCCG
rnacentral:tRNA from 1 species